CCCAGCUGAAUCGCACGGUUUUUCUCUUUCUCCCCUGUAAGUUAUUUUAUUUCUUCUGUGCCCAUUGAAGUUCCUGCCCGUGCUUCUGAUUCUCGUCCUGGAAGCUCUAACUCUGGAACUUUAGGGUCCCCAGACAGCUUUGUGUCUUUGGGAAGAGCAGCUUCUUGACACUUUGUUUUCCUUCUUUUCAGAGGGAAAAAAGAGCUUCAGAUUUGGAGAGCAACAGUGAAACUCCACAGAAAUCCACAUCCGGACUUGCUGGUGUCUCAGUGUCCCACCCAGCCGCAUCGUGGGACCUCCCUGUCACCUCACAGAAGGUUCCUCUAUUUCUCCUAUGGAUCUGCUUCCUGUCGUCUGCUUUAUUUCAACGGAGCGUGUCCUUCAUGAGAUGCAGCUCUGUGUGCCAUUGCUCCUGCCCGGCUCCUUGAAUCAGUUUCACGGUCCCGCCCUGUGCACACUCCCUCCUCAGCCAUGGCCGGGAUCUUGCAGUGACUUCGACGCUUCGGUCCCUUUCAGUCUUCUGGCGUGCGUUCACUCCAUUCCCUCUGUGCAGAAGUCUUCUCUCGCUCUGGGUCACUGGCUGAGUAACAGACACCUAUGCAGUGUCAGAUCUGUCGCCGUCUCCAACAAGCCUCCUACUAGUCACUCUGUUCCCGUGCAUGCUCUUUACUGUUUCCCUAGUUGCACCUAAAAUUCCUUACCGGAAGUGAGACUCUAUCCUAGGAUUAAAGAGGAGAUCUUUAGCACAUCUCAUGCC
rnacentral:lncRNA from 1 species